UACGGAGGGUGCAAGCGUUAUCCGGAUUCACUGGGUUUAAAGGGUGCGUAGGUGGGCUGGUAAGUCAGUGGUGAAAUCUCCGAGCUUAACUUGGAAACUGCCAUUGAUACUAUCAGUCUUGAAUAUUGUGGAGGUCAGCGGAAUAUGUCAUGUAGCGGUGAAAUGCUUAGAUAUGACAUAGAACACCAAUUGCGAAGGCAGCUGGCUAGACAUAUAUUGACACUGAGGCACGAAAGCGUGGGGAUCAAACAGG
rnacentral:rRNA from 1 species